AUACCCUUCUUUGGAAGGACAUAGAGCAACGCAAUCCUAUUUCUUUUCCAUGUGUGGUCAUCAUCUGACUCUCUGGUGUGCUGGUAUGUGUUGUUUUAGAUAGAAUCUUGUCAUUUAAAUAAAUGCCAAUUAAUUAUCACUGUUUUUUUUUUUAAAGAAUUAUAUCUCUACCUAUUUUUUGGCCUUUCCAGUCUAAUUUACAAGCUGAAACUGAACAGUCAUCUAAAGGUUAAAACAUCAGUUCUCAAUCAACUUCUUUGUACCCAAGGCACUGGAUUUGGAAUAGCACCUUAGAUUUAUGUAAUGGUGAAGUUGAGAUGAUGAUCAAAGUCUUACUUCAGACAAAUCAUGAGCCUCAGAGGAAGUGACGACAGAGAUGUCUGUGGAAACUAUUGAAGAGGAAGGCUUUGCUAAAUCUUCAUGGAGGAGACAGUGAGGAUAAAAUGGACUUUGUGGGAAGUUGAAGCUGAGUUCCAGCUCUUAAAACAAUUAUGGCUAGAUUUAUUGGUGGGCGUGAUAGUUCUUGAUUGUACAACUCCAGUGAGAAAGAAGAUAAAUGAGGCUACAGCACCUGCAAGACAUAGAGGCAAGAUUAGCCAAGAAUUAAGAGCCUCUUCUGAGAGUCACAGACACCUCUGAAAAGCCUGGCAAGAGCUAAGUAUGUGAGGGGGCAGCGAAGACUACAGGAUGGGAAGGAAAAACAAAUGUGCUAUUUUUAGGUUGCUACUUGAUGUGAAAUCAAAUACUGAUAGUUAAGUUAUAACAUAAAAGGUCAAUCAGGAAUUUAGUGUACAAGUCUUAGCACUUACUAUCGGAC
ensembl:lincRNA